GAUGAAGAACGCAGCGAAAUGCGAUAAGUAAUGUGAAUUGCAGAAUUCAGUGAAUCAUCGAAUCUUUGAACGCACAUUGCGCCCCCUGGUAUUCCGGGGGGCAUGCCUGUCCGAGCGUCAUUACAACCCUCAAGCUCAGCUUGGUGUUGGGCCCCGCCGCCCCGGCGGACCCUAAAGUCAGUGGCGGUGCCGUCCGGCUCCGAGCGUAGUAAUUCUUCUCGCUCUGGAGGUCCGGUCGUGUGCUCGCCAGCAACCCCCAAUUUUUUUCAGGUUGACCUCGGAUCAGGUAGGGAUACCCGCUGAACUUAAGCAUAUCAAUAAGCGGAGGA
rnacentral:misc_RNA from 1 species